rnacentral:rRNA from 1 species
CUUAGCAGAGAUGCUUUGGUGGCCUUCGGGAACUCUGAGACAGGUGCUGCAUGGCUGUCGUCAGCUCGUGUUGUGAAAUGUUGGGUUAAGUCCCGCAACGAGCGCAACCCUUAUCCUUUGUUGCCAGCGAUUCGGUCGGGAACUCAAAGGAGACUGCCAGUGAUAAACUGGAGGAAGGUGGGGAUGACGUCAAGUCAUCAUGGCCCUUACGAGUAGGGCUACACACGUGCUACAAUGGCGCAUACAAAGAGAAGCGACCUCGCGAGAGCAAGCGGACCUCAUAAAGUGCGUCGUAGUCCGGAUUGGAGUCUGCAACUCGACUCCAUGAAGUCGGAAUCGCUAGUAAUCGUAGAUCAGAAUGCUACGGUGAAUACGUUCCCGGGCCUUGUACACACCGCCCGUCACACCAUGGGAGUGGGUUGCAAAAGAAGUAGGUAGCUUAACUUUCGGGAGGGCGCUUACCACUUUGUGAUUCAUGACUGGGGUGAAGUCGUAACAAGGUAGGCGUAGUGCU